rnacentral:rRNA from 1 species
UGGGGAAUAUUGGGCAAUGGGCGAAAGCCUUACCCAGCAACGCCGCGUGAGGGAAGAAGGUUUUCGGAUUGUAAACCUCUGUCCUGGGGGACGAAGGAAGUGACGGUACCCCGGGAGGAAGCCCCGGCCUAACUACGUGCCAGCAGCCGCGGUAAUACGUAGGGGGCGAGCGGUUGUCCGGAAUUAUUGGGCGUAAAGGGCGCGUAGACGGCCGAGUAAGUUAUAGGUGAAAGCCCAUCUUUCAAGGAUGGAAUUGCCUGUAAUACUGCCUGGCUUGAGUGCAGGAGAGGGAAGCGGAAUUCCUAGUGUAGCGGUGAAAUGCGUAGAUAUUAGGAGGAACACCAGUGGCGAAGGCGGCUUUCUGGACUGUAACUGACGUUGAGGCGCGAAAGCGUGGGGAGCAAACAGGAUUAGAUACC